rnacentral:misc_RNA from 1 species
CAGAGUUGCAAGACUCCCUAAACCAUUGUGAACCUACCUUCUACCGUUGCUUCGGCGGGCGGGCCCAGCGCCCCCCCGGCCCCCCGCGGGCGCCCGCCGGUGGAUACCCAAACUCUUGACAUUAGUGGCCUCUCUGAGUAUUCUUUACUGAAUAAGUCA